GACGAACGCUGGCGGCAUGCCUAAUACAUGCAAGUCGAGCGAACAGAUGAAGUGCUUGCACUUCUGACGUUAGCGGCGAACGGGUGAGUAACACGUAAGGAAUCUACCUAUAAGCGGGGGAUAACAUUCGGAAACGGGUGCUAAUACCGCAUAAAAUCUUCUUCCGCAUGGAAGAAGAUUGAAAGACGGCUCUGCUGUCACUUAUAGAUGACCUUGCGGUGCAUUAGUUAGUUGGUGGGGUAACGGCCUACCAAGACGAUGAUGCAUAGCCGACUUGAAAGGGUGAUGGGCCAAAGUGGGAGUGAGACACGGCGCAAACUCCUACGGGAGGCAGCAGUAGGGAAUCUUCCGCAAUGGGCGAAAGCCUGACUGAGCAAUGCCGCGUGAGUGAAGAAGGCCUUCGGGUCGUAAAACUCUGUUAUAAGAGAAGAACAAAUUGUAGAGUAACUGCUACAGUCUUGACGGUAUCUUAUCAGAAAGCCACGGCUAACUACGUGCCAGCAGCCGCCGUAA
rnacentral:rRNA from 1 species